rnacentral:rRNA from 1 species
GAAGCGAACCCGGCGAACUGAAACAUCUAAGUAGCCGGAGGAAAAGAAAAUCAACCGAGAUUCCCAAAGUAGUGGCGAGCGAAAUGGGAACAGCCUGCAAGUGAUAGCGAUUGCGUUAGCGGAAGUCUCUGGAAAGUGGCGCCGUAGUGGGUGACAGCCCCGUACGCGAAAACCCGAUCGUGGUACCAAGCUUGCGACAAGUAGGGCGGGGCACGAGAAAUCCUGUCUGAAUAUGGGGGGCCCAUCCUCCAAGGCUAAAUACUCGUAAUCGACCGAUAGUGAACCAGUACCGUGAGGGAAAGGCGAAAAGAACCCCGGGAGGGGAGUGAAAUAGAUCCUGAAACCGCAUGCAUACAAACAGUGGGAGCCCCCUUCGUGGGGUGACUGCGUACCUUUUGUAUAAUGGGUCAGCGACUUACGUUCAGUAGCGAGCUUAACCGAAUAGGGGAGGCGUAGGGAAACCGAGUCUGAUAAGGGCGCCUAGUUGCUGGACGUAGACCCGAAACCAAGUGAUCUAUCCAUGGCCAGGAUGAAGGUGCGGUAACACGCACUGGAGGUACCCG